AGUGAACGCUGGCGGUAGGCCUAACACAUGCAAGUCGAACGGCAGCACAGUAAGAGCUUGCUCUUACGGGUGGCGAGUGGCGGACGAGUGAGGAAUACAUCGGAAUCUACUUUUUCGUGGGGGAUAACGUAGGGAAACUUACGCUAAUACCGCAUACGACCUACGGGUGAAAGCAGGGGAUCUUCGGACCUUGCGCGAUUGAAUGAGCCGAUGUCGGAUUAGCUAGUUGGCGGGGUAAAGGCCCACCAAGGCGACGAUCCGUAGCUGGUCUGAGAGGAUGAUCAGCCACACUGGAACUGAGACACGGUCCAGACUCCUACGGGAGGCAGCAGUGGGGAAUAUUGGACAAUGGGCGCAAGCCUGAUCCAGCCAUACCGCGUGGGUGAAGAAGGCCUUCGGGUUGUAAAGCCCUUUUGUUGGGAAAGAAAAGCGGCAGGUUAAUACCCCGCUGUUCUGACGGUACCCAAAGAAUAAGCACCGGCUAACUUCGUG
rnacentral:rRNA from 1 species